CUUUGAACUGGGAUUUAAAAGAAAUGAAAUUUAGAAAUGUAUAAGAACAUGCCUUACACCAGGAAUGGUUAUAAUAAACAACUGCUUUGGGGUAGCACUGAGUAUUUUCUAAAAAUACAAGAUGAAUUCAAAGUUGGGACAAGUACUGAAGAGGAGCCAGACCAGUUAGUAAAGGGCCUUAGAGACAGGCAAAAUGGUCCAACUUUCCUUUUAGAGGGUAUUAGGAAGUCAAUAAAAGUAUUUUUAUUAAGAUUGUUCAUUUAAGAUGAUAAAUGACUUCAUAAUAAAAGUUACCUCUAAUAUUCAACUUAUUUCAAAAUAGAAUGAGAGAAGCCCACUAGUCUUGAAUUGACAAGUACAGUAGUGGUAGAAUCAGCCUAAAUUUAAAUUCAACAAAUAUUUAUUAAGCAUUUAGUACAUGCUAGACUCUGAAAAGAUAAUCAAUAACACACAAUCCCUACUCUUCACAGAAAAACAGAGAAAGACAUGCCAACACCUAGCUAUAACAUCCAAUUAUUACUACCUCUAGUGCAUGAACAAAGUAAAGAACGGGGCCCAGGUGGUUUGGCUCAGUGGAUAGUGUGUGGACCUACAGACUGAAGGGUCCCAGGUUCUAUUCCAGCCUAGGGCACACGCCAGGGUUGUGGGCUCAAUCCCCAGUGAGGGGCAUGAAGGAGGCAGCAGAUCAAUGAUUCUCUCUCAUUACUGGUUUCUCUCUCUCCCCCCCCCUCCCUUUUUCUCUGAUAGCAAUAAAAAUAUUUUUAAAAAGGUAAUUGGUGGUAUCAGUAGAUUCCAUAUGCCUAAGGCCUGAGAGGAACUAAUGCCUAAGGCCCUGAGAAGAACUAAUCAUUCUCUGAGUUCUUCAUAGUCAGCCCCACCUUUCAUCUUAAACUUGAAAUUUUUCUUUUACCUGUAUAAUGAAUUUCAGAUGUUGUCCUACACAUAUACAUCUCCUUAGAGCUAUCCUUAACUGUAUGACACAGUGCUGUUCUUGGAGUCCACAGAAGCAGCUCUGCAGAGCUCCGAUUUUCUCAUUCUUCCCAGCUAGAUUUUCUCCUAUCUGCAGGUCCUGAGUGUCCACCAUUCACCAUGUACAUACCCUACAUCAAUACUACCUCCUUGCAGCUAUCAUUUCUUCAGCUCCCAAGCUUAGUUAUCUACCAAUAUCCCAUCACAAUAUUCUUUAAAGUUGAAAAA